rnacentral:lncRNA from 1 species
AGUGAAACUCAUCCUUGACAUUUUUAUUAUUAUCAAAUACAAAGUAAUUUUCGUUGUUAUUAUUAUUAUUGCUAUUGCAACCAAUCAAACUGAAACCUUUUGUUCAAUCGAGUAAAAAUCACAAUUCAACAGUAUAACGCGAUCCUUGAGUUCGACACUCGGUCUUACCGUUUUAAAUAUAUUACUUGCACGAUUUCGUACACUUGCGAAA